CAAGGACCUAUGCUCACUUCUGCAGUGCCUUGGUCUACCAAGCCCUGAGAUGUAUUCUGAAUUAUUACAGGAUAAUUAACCAAGAAAUACAGAGUGUAUCUAAGGAACACUGACCACAGUGCUUUAACAGAGAUGCUCAACUUCUUAAAAAGAACAACAUUAUAAAAACUGCUUUGAGAAAAUGACAGUUCUCCCCAGACCCUAUGGAAGUCUGAACAUACGCUGCACAAAGCAUAGAGGAUUUCCCUGACUGGACUUUGCAGAAAUCUGCAAGCAGCAAGAAGGAAAGCUCUGCUGCAGGAGUGGAAUGCUUCUUUAGUUUCCAUGCACAAAAAUCCUGCUAUGGCUUGGCAGAGUCUUUAAAACAAAUCCAG
rnacentral:lncRNA from 1 species